UUUUUUUUUCUGUAUAUCUUGUCUCUUUUUCUAGUAGCAAUUUUCUGAUACUUUCCAUUAACCCUUCUCAGAUGAAAAAAGUACAACCUAUGAUUAACACACUUAGCCAUCAUUACUUUUCUAGGUACAAUUUUUGGCCACAAACCUCCUCAUGUAUUACCAGUCAGCCAACCAGAGUUGGAAGCUCUUGAGUCAUGUAUUCAUUUCCAGCCCAUUAAGUGGCUGCUCUUCACCAAGAUCCCCCCCCCCUCAGUCAGGUGGUCCCGCUCAAAAAGAGAUAAUGGGUUUGUUGGUAACAACUAGCAUGUAUGACAGAUAGGAUAGUUACAGACUAUGAAUCAAGGUAAACAAAAAUAUAAAUUUGAUUUCUCUAUAACUGAACUGAAGUCCUAUUUUGAAACUUUAUUCAGAUGAUAGAAAAAAAAUUAGGCUUCAGUAAUUUAAGGUAAGUCACUCAAUUCAGGGUUUUCUCAGUCAAAUAAGAAUUCUUCCCUUACUGAUUCUCCAUGUGUCUUAGUUUGGGUGAGCCCAAAAGUAGCAUCUGAGAGGAGGAAUUAGAUUCUGGUGGUUUGUGUGAGAUGUAUCUUUGGAAACAACAAUGAGACAGCAAAAAGAGUGAGACAUAGGAGAAGAGAAAACAGUAAAGAGUUUGUUGUUGAACUGCUGGCAACUGGAACUCUAUUCUACUGCAUCCUCUUAAUGGCUGGUUAGAAUGAGACCCAUAAUUGUUUCUGAAAAAUAGGGUGCUGAAACACUAAUCCUCCAACUCCCACUCCUCAUUGGUUGAGAACUUCCCCUGGAGGUAUUAAUUGCUCUGUAUUUCUGGACUACCCUGCAUGCAAAUUGAGAAAAACCCCGCAUCUUCAGGAAACAUCCUUAGACAGUAAAGUGUAAAUUUUCGUGCAUGCUUGGAGUAGUCUGCACAAGAACUAGCCACUGGAGCUGCAGUCAAUAUCUGAGGGUAGUCAAAAGAAUGUGAUAUGGAACCCCAAAAUUUUCUACCACACUCCAGGAGCAAAGACAUGUUGUAUCACUGUGUGGGUGAUAGUCAGAUAUCAUAACCUAUCCAAGUUGGAAUCUACUGAGAAAAUUAAGGCUCAAUUUAACUAGUCUUUAUCUUCUAGCUCUGUUAGUAAAUUCUGAGGCAUCUUCAUUGCCCUCUAGUUUCCAAUUGUCAAGGAUAUGUAGGAAAUAUGUACCCUCCUUCCCAUGCCCAUACAGGCCCACACAACCUGCACCCUCUCUCCACUCAGCUCUUUCUUCAUUCCUCUCAGGGAAAGGCCUGGAAAGGGGCUUGAGGAGCAGUUCUUAGGAAUGAAACCUGUGGACCCAUUCUCAGGGACACACACAAAAAUCUAUUUCAAUAUUUGCAUCUCCUGACUCUCCAUUCCUUUACACUAAUCUAUGAGAACCCUAUCUAAUUUCAGCAGCUGGGGAAAACUGCCCUGACUCAUUCUGUAUUUUUUUCAUGUGUUUUAUUUAUGUCAUAAACUUUGUGUCCUGAAUCCUUUGAGGUUCUGACUCUUGAUAUUAUGCAACUCAAAAUUUUUACUCUCAUCAUUACUGUCUCUUCUGGGAGUUUCAAAAGGCUGUUUUGAGCCUAAAAAGCUGAGCAUUGACUCCUUUCUUUCCCUUUUGUAUUUCUUAAGUAACUGUACCCUAAGAGUAGUAAGUAUAGAAUAUCCUCUCAUAUUGAGUCUCCAAAAGCAGACCUUGAGAUGAGGACUUGUGUGAAAGUAAUUUAUUAGGACAUGUUCCCCUAAAAUACCAGUAAAGGAGUAAGGAACUGGAAUAGGGAAAGGAAGAAAAACAAGCAAGGCUGUAAUAUUAAACCAAGUCCUGUAAGAGGGUAACUUUGGCUCCAUCCCAGAGUCUAUCCCUGGAGACAAUGAAGGUCAUGCCUCAGAAUUUUCCCCCUCAAGGGACAAGAGAGUUAGAAUAUUUAUCCUCUCAUCCCAUCAGUCAUUGGUUAAGGGCUGCCCAAUGGGAGAAGAGGGAAGGGGAGAGGGUGUGGAGACUGUGGUAUUAAAAUCCCAGUCACUUCAGCAAAUUCUGUUCUGACAGCAUCUGUUGGGAUAGCCUUACCAUUAUCUGAAUGGGGGAUCAGUCUGAGCAGCAGGAAACAGGAGGGAAAGAAACAGAGGAUGAUGUUUCAGAAUAUAAUCUUGCAAUGCAUAUCUACUAUGCUUAACUCCCAUGCUCUCUUACACCAUCAUGAAUUUCAUAGGGGGAUAUUAAGUUUUGUAUACUCUCCUUUUCUUCCAGGCCAAUGGCUUUUUCUGCAAAACUUAAUCUCCCUAGUCACAAGCUCUUUCCCUCUCUGCUCUUGUGUACUAUCCUCUGAGAAUAAGCCUAUCAAAGUUGGGUUUCCCCUACCAGAAUUUGGAGUCCAUAAGAGCAGAAACCAGCUUGUUCUUUUCUGCAUCCCCAGGCCUAAGUGCUCUGUAAAUGCUUAUGAAAGAAUAGAUAAAGGUGUACAGUUCACUCACAGGCUUGGAAAUGUGAGGUAAAUCCUGCCUUGUGCCUCCAAUUCAUGCAUUUUUAUUCAGAUCAAAACAGUUUACAAUGAAUGUUAAGGGAACAAAAUGUCAAAAAUGGUGACACGUGGUUUUAGGGAUGUGUAUGAAAAGGGAAAAGCUUGUUUAGCCCACUUUGCUUUGAUUAUGAAAAGGCCAGCUGAUUAAGAAUAGUUUGUUUAUGAGCACAAGGGUGGUUUUUAGCACUGACCAGGAAGUCCAUCUCCUUGUGCUGCCUUGAGAAAUGUGAGAUUUCCCCCUCUGCAAAAGUGUCAGGUUUUUCUAGAUUUUCUACAACCUGAGGAUAGCUCUUCAUGCACAUGUGCAAUUGCCAAAGAUUAAUAAUGAUAUGAAUAGAUGGGUUGAUAAGUGCAUGGAUGGAUGACGUGUAAAUACAUUUUACUAGACCACUAAACUCUAAUAGAAAUAAGGUAUUAACUGGGAAGACAGUUCCUUUUAGGACAGAAACUUAAUAUCAUGUCAAAAUAUAUUUUUAGAGCUUAAAAAAUAUCCAUAGAUUAUCAUUAGGCACUUAUAAGAAGAAAAAUGAGGAAGUUGAGCAUGAAGUGAACAAUCUGAUUUAUUUAAUAAACUGACAUAAUCACUGGGCCUUAAUGAUUUCCAAAGCAAGCAUAUCCUAUAGUUGGGUCUAUUAUACCUGACAAGACCAUAAUAAUGUGUUGCUAUUUUAGUGGACUGUAAAUAAAACUUCCUACCUGUACCCUUCACCCAAUUCUUAGGAUUGAUGACAUCUACGCCAAGUUAAUGGAGGGAGACAUUCACUGAGUGUUCCUCACACACCAAAAGAUAGAACCAAAAGAUUUUUUAAUAUUCUGUAACCCACGAAGAGUUUUGUUGUCUGGUCAACUUUCUUUGAGGGAAUUUACUGACCUAUGUUAUAUUCUGGACCACAUGAAAAAAAUAUUUUUUUGUAUAGGAAUUUUGUUUGUAGACAUGAAGGCUGAGAUACACUCCCUUUUACAUGCACUCCUCCAGUUCAGACUGUAUCUCAACAUAACAUCACAGUUCUUUCAUUGCUUUUAGAACAGUAGGAUUGGCAGGCAGGCUGCCUCAUAUUAGAGUUUACAUCUAUAUCUGUUUCUUUUGUUGGAUUAAGACUUUCCCCAAAGUAUCUAGAGUAAUGCCUAGCUCAUAGUCUCUGUCACUUCUUUUCUGUGUAGGAAUCCCUUACUGAUCUUCAAAGAUUUAGCUCGAAAGUCAACCCUCAUGCUCCUCUAGAACAGUUAAUUGCUCCCUUUUAUGAGCUCCCCCUACACUGCAUUCACAGUGCUCCUAUAGUGUUUAUCUCAAUUACAGUCACUUAAAUAAAUAUAUGACGCUUCUAUUGAAGCAUGAACUUAUGAAGAGAAAGAAUACUGCAUUUUCACCAUUUUUCCCUUAGUGCCUAACAUACUGCUUGCCAUACAGUAGAUGCUAAAUAAAUCUCUGUUGAAUUAAAGUGUAGUUUAUCUACCAACAAAUAACAAACUGAAGACAAAACUCCCUGAAAUGGAAUUCCAGUUCAAAUUAGGAAAUGUGAGUAAAUUCUAACUCUCAGGAUAAUGAUUAGGGCUGAAGAAGAAAUAUUCUUGGGCUUGAUAAGAGAUCAAGGAAGCGGAGUUCCCGUCGUGGCGCAGUGGUUAACGAAUCCGACUAGGAACCAUGAGGUUGCAGGUUCGGUCCCUGCCCUUGCUCAGUGGGUUAACGAUCCGGCGCUGCCGUGAGCUGUGGUGUAGGUUGCAGACGCGGCUCGGAUCCCGCGUUGCUGUGGCUCUGGCGUAGGCUGGUGGCUACAGCUCCGAUUCAACCCCUAGCCUGGGAACCUCC
rnacentral:lncRNA from 1 species